AUGAGUAAGUACUCAGCUCUGGUUCACCUGGAUUUGAGCAGCUUCAGCAGCGCCCUCGCCUUGGCCUUAGCCCUGGCGCCGCACUGGCUCUGGAGCAGCAGCAGCAGCUGCGUCACCACCCCGGCGCCCACCGCCUCGCUCCGCGCCGCCCGCGACUCCCUGCACACGGCCAGCAGCGCCGCCGCCGCGUGCUCGCUCCCGUCGUUGCUCGACGACAUCAUGAACACGUGCCUCACGAGAAUGCGCGUUGCGCCGGGCGCGUGCGCCACCGCCCUGCGCCCGGCCUCCGUCUCCGCCAGCGCCUCCACCGCCGCCAGCGCGCUGGACACGGCCCCGCCGCCCUUGACGUACGCCCACCACGACAGGUGCCUGAAGAGCGCGCCGACCGCGCCGUGGUGGAUGGCGCUGCCACGCGCCGGCUCGGCCGCGCAGACCGCGGCGAUCGCGCGCACCGCGGCCUCCGAGGCGCGCGCGUCGGGGGCCGGGCCGGCGUGCUGCUGCAGGAGCGGCAGGAGCGCCUGCCACACGCGCGGCGAGGCGGCCACGACGAGCGCCAGGUCCCGGGUCGCCGCGGCCGUGGCGACGGUCUCCAGGAGGCGGCACAGGCCUGCCUUGGCCCGGCCGCUGCCUCGCCCCAGCAGCCGGACGAAGGACGCCAGGUGUUCCUCCUUCUUGAGCAUGUUGAGGCAGUCGAGCUGCGGCGCAGCGGCGUUCGACGGCAUGAGGCUGAGCGCGCACUGCAGCGCGAGCUCCUCCGCCUCCGCGUGGCGCUCCGCUGGCGCGGCCGGCGCGGCGUGGAAGACGAGCGGCAGUAGCACGCUCAGGAACCCCAGCUGCAGCAUGCACGCGCGGCCGACGUCGGACUCGGACGCCAGCGCCAAGACCUUCUUGAGCGCGCCGAUCUUGGCGGCGGCGGAGGUGGCGUCGGACUGGAGGCACCGCUUGAGCGCCGCGAGCGACGGAUCGUCAUCCGCCGACUCCGGGAGGCUGUGGUCGGUGGCGGCGGAGAGCCAGCGCUCGAUGAGGUGGCGCAGGGUGCGGUUGGGCACUAGCACGGUGGUGUCGCCGUCGCCGAGGGCCUGCAUUGUGACGGGGCAGGUGCGGUGGCCGUCGGCGAGCCACCGCUCGAUGCACUGGCGGUCGUACGUCUGCCCCGUGCACAGCGUCACCGGGUCCGUGAAGAUGUCCAGGCUGAUCGGACACCGGAACAGGUGCGGCACGCUCAUCUCUGGCACCCGCAGAGAUCAACACGAAUCCAACAAGAAAUGGAAGAACCUAAUCCCUCGUCCAAGCAGGAAAAAGAGAAUCACAAACCACUCCACUUAUACCAACCAAGAACUCAUCGAGAAAACCCCAAAAAGAUGGCGAACAAAUCUGCAGCUCCGGCCGAUCGGUGGAGAAGCCCUUGUAGGCCGGGAUCGACUUAUUUCGAGGAAUGCGGUCACACAGAAGGCUAUUUUAACUGGCUGCUGGCACUCACUCCCAUGUCACUCCCAUCAAGAAUCCAUGGCGAUGUAA
rnacentral:rRNA from 1 species